rnacentral:piRNA from 1 species
ACAAACGGACGAGGACGAGGACAAGUA